rnacentral:lncRNA from 1 species
UUAUUUGUUAGUUACUUAAGGUGCAGAUGUUUCCUGAGCUCUUACAUAUGCCAACCACCAGGCUGGGUUAUCUUGUUUUGAUACAAAAAAGGCAUACAGGGUCACUGGCAGCAGACCAGUACUCUCAUCUGCAAAACUCAGCCCUCUGGGAUGGCGUUCAUCACAUCCACCACGCUGGUGAUCUUGCCAAGAGAGAACGGAGCUGAGUCUGAUGUGACAUGCACUUCAUCAUCAUGCCCUGAUGAUCCUGAGCUUCCUCCAAGAAGAGGCAAAGGCAGCUUAAUCUCAGCAUGAGGGAGAGGCUAGGAGACCCCAGUCUCUGCCCACGUCAUCCAAAGCAUCUGUUCUUGACUGAAGUGGUGACACAGAACCAGGGUGGGGAGCUCUGUUUUCUCUUCACCACCCCAUAUUAUACCCUACCCUACAUGGGCUUGCCUCAUCCAUCACAGCUUGUGUUUCUCACCUGAUAUCAAAUUUAAGAACCUAAUUUUGAGGGACAUCCACAGUUCUUCAGUAGGUGAAUGGAUGGAUACAUUGUGGUCCAUCUGUUACGACAGUUAUUCAAAAGAAAUAACUCCCCAGCGUGCAGGCCGGGUGUCAGGGCAACUAACGGGAGAGCAACAGGAAUGGGGGGGGG